UAAGGUAAAGCUAACAAGAUUUGGUGGUGUAAUGAAGAAAGUGGGUGAGACCAAAAGGAUUUUGCCUAGACAACAAGGUACAUGAAGUUGUCAUUUCCUGGAAUGGGGAAGACUGAAGGAGGAGCAGGUUGUAGCAAAGGAGUUGGAGAUAAGAUGUUAAUUGGUGCAGAUUCAAGAAAGAAGGAGAAGAAUGGAACCAGAAGUGUUUCAUUUUAAAAUAGAACAGAAGAUCGAAAAGGUGUGUGAAGG
rnacentral:lncRNA from 1 species